UACGGGGGGGGCAAGCGUUGUUCGGAAUUACUGGGCAUAAAGGGCUCGUAGGCGGCCAACUAAGUCGGACGUGAAAUCCCCAGGCUCAACCUGGGAACUGCGUCUGAUACUGGAUGGCUUGAAUCCGGGAGAGGGAUGCAGAAUUCCAGGUGUAGCGGUGAAAUGCGUAGAUAUCUGGAGGAAUACCGGUGGCGAAGGCGGCAUCCUGGACCGGCAUUGACGCUGAGGAGCGAAAGCCAGGGGAGCAAACGGG
rnacentral:rRNA from 1 species